rnacentral:rRNA from 1 species
UACGAAGGGGGCUAGCGUUGUUCGGAAUUACUGGGCGUAAAGCGCACGUAGGCGGAUCGAUCAGUCAGGGGUGAAAUCCCAGAGCUCAACUCUGGAACUGCCUUUGAUACUGUCGAUCUGGAGUAUGGAAGAGGUGAGUGGAAUUCCGAGUGUAGAGGUGAAAUUCGUAGAUAUUCGGAGGAACACCGGUGGCGAAGGCGGCCAACUGGACGAAUACUGACGCUGAGACUCGAAAGCGUGGGGAGCAAACAGG